AUUGAACGCUGGCGGCAGGCCUAACACAUGCAAGUCGAACGGUAACAGGAAACAGCUUGCUGUUUCGCUGACGAGUGGCGGACGGGUGAGUAAUGUCUGGGAAACGGCCUGAUGGAGGGGGAUAACUACUGGAAACGGUAGCUAAUACCGCAUAACGUCGCAAGACCAAAGAGGGGGACCUUCGGGCCUCUUGCCAUCGGCUGUGCCCAGAUGGGAUUAGCUAGUAGGUGGGGUAACGGCUCACCUAGGCGACGAUCCCUAGCUGGUCUGAGAGGAUGACCAGCCACACUGGAACUGAGACACGGUCCAGACUCCUACGGGAGGCAGCAGUGGGGAAUAUUGCACAAUGGGCGCAAGCCUGAUGCAGCCAUGCCGCGUGUAUGAAGAAGGCCUUCGGGUUGUAAAGUACUUUCAGCGGGGAUGAAGGGAGUAAAGUUAAUACCUUGGCUCAUUGACGUUACCCGCAGAAGAAGCACCGGCUAACUCCGUG
rnacentral:rRNA from 1 species